rnacentral:rRNA from 1 species
CAAUAGCGUAUAUUUAAGUUGCUGCAGUUAAAAAGCUCGUAGUUGGAUUUCGGGUGGGAAUGGCCGGUCCGCCGUUUCGGUGUGCACUUGCUACGCCCACCUUGCUGCCGGGGACGUACUCUUGAGUUCACGCUCGGGACACGGAGUCGGCGAGGUUACUUUGAGUAAAUUAGAGUGUUCAAAGCAGGCCUACGCUCUGAAUACAUUAGCAUGGAAUAACACGAUAGGACUCUGGCCUAUCUUGUUGGUCUGUAGGACCGGAGUAAUGAUUAAGAGGGACAGUCGGGGGCAUUCGUAUUUCAUUGUCAGAGGUGAAAUUCUUGGAUUUAUGAAAGACGAACUACUGCGAAAGCAUUUGCCAAGGAUGUUUUCAUUAA